rnacentral:rRNA from 1 species
AAUGAACGCUGGCGGCAGGCCUAACACAUGCAAGUCGAGCGGAAGAAGGGAGCUUGCUCCUGGAUUCAGCGGCGGACGGGUGAGUAAUGCCUAGGAAUCUGCCUGGUCGUGGGGGAUAACGUCCGGAAACGGGCGCUUAUAUCGCAUCCGUCCUGAUGGAGAAAGUGGGGGAUCUUCGGACCUCACGCUAUCUGAUGAGCCUAAGUGGGAUUAGCGAGUUGGUGGGGUAAAGGCCUACCAAGGCGACGAUCCGUAACUGGUCUGAGAGGAUGAUCCGUCACACUGGAACUGAGACACGGUCCAGACUCCUACGGGAGGCAGCAGUGGGGAAUAUUGGACAAUGGGCGAAAGCCUGAUCCAGCAAUGCCGCGUGUGUGAAGAAGGUCUUCGGAUUGUAAAGCACUUUAAGUUGGGAGGAAGUGCAGUAAGUUUAUACCUGGCUAUUUUGACGGUACCAACAGAAUAAGCACCGGCUAACUUCGUG